rnacentral:tRNA from 1 species
GCCUGUAGCUCAGCGGUUAGAGCGUCCGGCUCAUAACCGGGUGGUCGGUGGUUCGAAUCCACCCGGGC